UACGGGAGGCAGCAGGGGGGAAUAUUGCACAAUGGGCGCAAGCCUGAUGCAGCCAUGCCGCGUGUAUGAAGAAGGCCUUCGGGUUGUAAAGUACUUUCAGUCGUGAGGAAGGUGUUAAGGUUAAUAACCUUAGCAAUUGACGUUAGCGACAGAAGAAGCACCGGCUAACUCCGUGCCAGCAGCCGCGGUAAUACGGAGGGUGCGAGCGUUAAUCGGAAUUACUGGGCGUAAAGGGCACGCAGGCGGUUAAUUAAGUUGGAUGUGAAAUCCCCGGGCUUAACCUGGGAAUGGCAUUCAAGACUGGUUAGCUAGAGUCUUGUAGAGGGGGUAGAAUUCCAUGGUGUAGCGGUGAAAUGCGUAGAGAUGUGGAGGAAUACCGGUGGCGAAGGCGGCCCCUGGACAAAGACUGACGCUCAUGUGCGAAAGCGUGGGGAGCAAACAGGGAUUAGAUACC
rnacentral:rRNA from 1 species